rnacentral:rRNA from 1 species
CGAACCUACGGGAGGCAGCAGUGAGGAAUAUUGGUCAAUGGACGAGAGUCUGAACCAGCCAAGUAGCGUGAGGGAAUAAGGCCCUACGGGUCGUAAACCUCUUUUGCCGGGGAGCAAGGGCCGGGACGCGUCCCGGCCCGGAGAGUACCCGGAGAAAAAGCAUCGGCUAACUCCAUGCCAGCAGCCGCGGUAAUACGGAGGAUGCGAGCGUUAUCCGGAUUUAUUGGGUUUAAAGGGUGCGUAGGCGGGCUUUUAAGUCAGCGGUAAAAAUUCGGGGCUCAACCCCGUCCGGC